CAGUAGCCGCGGUAAUACGUAGGGGGCAAGCGUUAUCCGGAUUACUGGGCGUAAAGGGAGCGCAGACGGCUCUGCAAGUCUGAAGUGAAAGCCCGCGGCUUAACCACGGGACUGCUUUGGAAACUGCAAGGCUUGAGUAUCGGAGGGGCAGGCGGAAUUCCUAGUGUAGCGGUGAAAUGCGUAGAUAUUAGGAAGAACACCGGUGGCGAAGGCGGCCUGCUGGACGAAAACUGACGUUGAGGCUCGAAGACGUGGGGAGCAAACAGGAUUAGAUACCCCAGUAGUCCCUGUCUCUUAUACA
rnacentral:rRNA from 1 species